UUACGCUCGUAGUCGCGCGGUUGCAGGUAGUUGAGCGAACUGAUUAGAAGCUUGCUUCUAUGACGUUAGCGGCGGACGGGUGAGUAACACGUGGGCAACCUGCCUGUAAGACUGGGAUAACUCCGGGAAACCGGAGCUAAUACCGGAUAACAUUUUCUCUUGCAUAAGAGAAAAUUGAAAGAUGGUUUCGGCUAUCACUUACAGAUGGGCCCGCGGUGCAUUAGCUAGUUGGUGAGGUAACGGCUCACCAAGGCAACGAUGCAUAGCCGACCUGAGAGGGUGAUCGGCCACACUGGGACUGAGACACGGCCCAGACUCCUACGGGAGGCAGCAGUAGGGAAUCUUCCGCAAUGGACGAAAGUCUGACGGAGCAACGCCGCGUGAGUGAUGAAGGCUUUCGGGUCGUAAAACUCUGUUGUUAGGGAAGAACAAGUACAAGAGUAACUGCUUGUACCUUGACGGUACCUAACCAGAAAGCCACGGCUAACUACGUGCCAGCAGCCGCGGUAAUACGUAGGUGGCAAGCGUUAUCCGGAAUUAUUGGGCGUAAAGCGCGCGCAGGCGGUUUCUUAAGUCUGAUGUGAAAGCCCACGGCUCAACUGUGAGGGUCAUUGGAAACUGGGGAACUUGAGUGCAGAAGAGAAAGCGGACUCCACGUGUAGCGGUGAAAUGCGUAGAGAUGUGAGGACACCAGUGCGAAGCGGCUUUUGGUCUGUAACUGACGCUGAGGCCGAAGCUGGGAGCAAACAGGAUUAAAUACCCUGUAGUCCACGCGUAAACGAUGAUGCUAUGU
rnacentral:rRNA from 2 species